rnacentral:rRNA from 1 species
UCAAUAUAAAUUGAUUAAUUAUUAUUUAUUAAUUUAUAUUUGAGUAAAAAUUUUAAUAUUAAAAAUAAUUAUAUAUUUUAGUGUUUAAGUAUUUUAUAAAGAAAUAAUAAUUUUAAUUAUAGUUGAAUAGUAUUGUAAAGGAAUAUUGAAAUAUUUUGAAAAAUAAUUAUUUUAAAAGAAAAUUUAAUUAAUUGUACCUUGUGUGUCAGGGUUUAUUAAAUAAAAAUUAAUAAAUUUAAUUUUCCCGAUUUUAAAAGAGUUAAUGUAUUAUAAAAGUUAAUGUAAUAAAAUUAUUUUAAAUAAUAUGUUAGAAAUGAGAUGUUAUUCGGUUUUAAAGGUAUCUGGUUUUUUAAGAAAUAAAUUUAAUUUAGAAAUUUUAUAUUAUUUAAUUAGUUUAUUUAAUUAAAUAAGUAUUUAAAUUUAGUAUUUUAUGGGAUAAGCUAUAAAGUAAAUAAUUAAAAAUUAAUAAAUGAAUUAAUUAAUGUAAAUUUAAAAAUAGUUAUCAUUAGUAAAAAUGUUAUAAUUUAUUUUAGAAUAUGAAUUAUUUAUUAUAUUUUAAAUUUUUAUUAAAAUAUUUAUUUAAAUUUUGAAAAUAAAUAAAUAAUGGUAAAAUUAGUAUAUUAUAUUGUGUAAAUAAGUUAUUAUGAAAAGUUUUUAUAAAGAACUCGGCAAAAUUAGUGUUCGCCUGUUUAACAAAAACAUGUCUUUUUGAAUUGAAUUUAAAGUCUAACCUGCCCACUGAGUAUUUUAAAUGGCCGCAGUAUAUUAACUGUGCAAAGGUAGCAUAAUCAUUAGUCUUUUAAUUGAAGGCUAGUAUGAAUGGUUGGACGAGGUACUAACUGUUUCAUAAAAAUUUAUAAUAAAAUUUUAUUUUUUAGUUAAAAAGCUAAAAUAGAUUUAAAAGACGAGAAGACCCUAUAAAUCUUUAUAUUUAGAAUAUUAAAAAUUUUUGGUUUUUUUUUAUUUUAAUAAUUUAUUAAUAUUUUAUUGGGGUGAUAUUAAAAUUUAAUAAACUUUUAAUUAUUUUUUUCAUUUAUUUAUGAUUUAUUGAUCUUUUAUUAAGGAUUAAAAAUUUAAGUUACUUUAGGGAUAACAGCGUAAUUUUUUUGAAGAGUUCUUAUCAAUAAAAAAGAUUGCGACCUCGAUGUUGGAUUAAGAUAUAGUUUUAGGUGUAGUCGCUUAAAUUUUAAGUCUGUUCGACUUUUAAAUUCUUACAUGAUCUGAGUUCAAACCGGUGUAAGCCAGGUUGGUUUCUAUCUUUAGGAAAAUUUAAUAUUUUAGUACGAAAGGAUUUAAUAUUAAAUAAAUAAUUAUUUUUGUUUUGGAAAUUAAUAAAAUA